AUGCUGUUUUCUAUCAGUCCCAAGCGAAUACUCCCCAGCUUCCAUGAUCCGCUUACCGAGGAAGAGAUGCGGGAGGACCCAGGGCCAGAGCAAGUUGGGUUGGGGUAUAGAGUCGUAAGCGUGGUGGGGGUGACAGAGGAUGUGCUCGUACAGUUCAUAGUUGGGUAUGAUAUUCUCGUGGAUUGUUGGGAACAUCCUCUAUAUUCGAAAUAUGCCUUUCUAGGAGCAUUACGAUCUGCAGCUCAAAUGGUCCCUUGUGAAGUCUCUAUUGGUCUUAUUCUUACACAAGGUCGGUUACAAAGGAGGAGAUAUACAUAUCCGUAUUGCCUAGCAUGCCUUCCACACCAAGUAGAGUCCCAUCCGGACACAGGACGAAGUCUUCAAUCUUAUGUCUUCAUUGUCCAACAGUCCGACCAAAGGAUAUAG
rnacentral:rRNA from 1 species